AGGAGACCAAGAGGGCAGGGUGAUGGAGAAAGCACAGGAUGAAGUUCUCGUCUUCCUUCCAACAGAAUCUCAGUUGCACUCAGUUGUUGCCCCCCUCGAACCUCUCUUGAGCCUCAGGAGAAACCACCCUGAUUCAAGGUCCAGAGAAGACCUGACUAGCCCAAGGUAAUUCCGUCCCCUUGCCAGAGUGGCUUGGGCAGGGACACGGGACCUAUUUCAAUGAGGCCAAUGAGACAAAGGUAUUUCUGCUGGGGAGGCAGGGGCUUCAGGCAAAGGGUCUUGCUUGAAAGAGCCACCGGAAGAGGGCUCUCUCCUUCCUUAGGGUGUCACCGUGUCUGGAUGCGAUGCCUGGAAGUGCUACAGCCACUCGCGCCCAGCCUGAAGACGAAACCAACCCCAAACAUAGCCAAGCAGAGAGAUGGAAAGAACUAGGACCCUAAUUACACCACUGAGCAGCUAUAGCAACCAGUUCCAGAGCCCUCUGACUUCCCGCCAAAGUGAGAUGAUAAGAUACUGUUUAAUUUCUCUCUUUUAUACCCAAACACACCAAAAUUGGCACAGAGAUGUGAGCCAUACCUACCACUGUUACUGCUCCAUCCCUAGUUCCAACCACAGUGCAUGGUACAUGGUAGAGAGCCAACAAACACUUGAAGAAUGAAUGGUGCAUACUGAGCGGGAUUUUCCAGAGGCAGACCUGGAGACAAGGCUUCAAGUGCGUGUGUUGUAUUAAGGAAAUGCUCCCAGGGGACAAUAGCAGAGUGGCAGAAAUGGGACCAGGGGGCCAGGGAGCCAAGUACAGAGAAUCAAUCGUCUAAACAGAGCCCCCUGUUUUUUGUUUCACCUGGGAGUAGCUUCCACCUGAUCCCCAGGGGAACUCUGGGAUGUCAGUGACGGCUCAGCAUUGCCCCUGAGGCAAGGGAGCUGGGCUUUCCUAAUCCCCCACUCCUCAGUCUCUGGCUAAGCGCUGUCCCCAGGGGACUUAAUCACCCAAGCACUUCCCCAAGAGUGGCAUCUGCUGACCACUGGAGGCACUGGUACAGUGAAGCGACAGAAGGGAACAGAGAGGGUCCAGGUGGGGCACAGCAAUGUGACUGAAUAAUAACUAUAUUAAUUCAUAUAGUUAAUUCUCAAGCAAUGGCAAAGUGUAGGCAGCUUCUUGUCUGCAAACGUUUCCACGAUAUCUCUCCUGCAGGCAGACGGGUCUUUUCCUGCCGCCUACACAGAAUGGCCAUGGAGCAUCCCCAACUCUUAUUAAAAUGGAAAAAAAAAAAAGCCUUUGCAUUUCAAUCUAUUAUUGCACUUUAUGACUCAUCUUCAGGUUCUCUCUGCAAAACAUUGAAAGCCAGAUCAUAAUUUGAUGAUGAAAUAUUGAUUAUGCAUUUGUAUGCGGAGGUCUAUACUAUAUAGAUAGAAUUCCCACCCUGUAGUAUCUUCUAUUUUAAGUCAGUAUGAAGAUGGAUGUUCCCCCCAGGCAAAUUUUGAUAAGAUACUUGUGUCAAUACAAAAAGAGAUUAAUGCCAAUGUGAAUCAAUACCCGCUUAUUGGUUUGGGUUGCUUCUUCUCCACACAGCAGCUGGCUCCAAGAGGGGUUUCCAAACACCAGCGGCUCCCAGCCAAUCUGCAUAUUUCUUUAUUUAAAUCAUGAGAGUGGGAAGUGGCAAGGGAAUGGUGGGUUGGCAGGGGGCUGCCCAUGCCCACUCCCAAAUUGAGAAGGGAAUGAAAAUAAAACAAACGCAACUUGUCAACAAAUCUGGGAGAAGCUUUAUUACCAUCAUUAGCAGUGUGCUUGUCCUCUGCUGCUUCCAAACAGAAUAAACUUAAAAUGAC
rnacentral:lncRNA from 1 species